rnacentral:rRNA from 1 species
AACGAACGCUGGCGGCAUGCCUAACACAUGCAAGUCGAACGAGACCUUCGGGUCUAGUGGCGCACGGGUGCGUAACGGGUGGGAACCUGCCUUUAGGUUCGGAAUAACUCAGAGAAAUUUGAGCUAAUACCGGAUGAUGUCUUCGGACCAAAGAUUUAUCGCCUUUAGAUGGGCCCGCGUUGGUUUUGCUGGUUGGUGGGGUAAAGGCCUACCAAGGCGACGAGCCAUAGUUGGUCUGAGAGGAUGAUCAGCCACACUGGGACUGAGCCACGGCCCCGACUCCUACGGGAGGCAGCGGUGGGUAAUAUUGGACAGUGGGCCAAAUCCUGCUCCACCAAUGGCGCGUGAGUGAUGAAGGCCUUAGGGUUGUAAAGCUCUUUUACCCGAGAUGAUUAUGACAGUAUCGGGAGAAUAAGCUCCGGCUAACUCCGUG